rnacentral:lncRNA from 10 species
GGUGAUCCUGAGAACAACAUUGAACAGGUAUAAUGUGAGUUGCUGCACUUCAGCCAACCAAACCUCCCUCUCCCCCGAAAUUUGCUAAGGGUUGGAUGCUUCCCAUCAGAAAUCUAUUCUCUGUGAGGCCUCUCCCUAACCACUCCUCACCUCCACCUCCCAAGGGUGACCGUUAUGUCUUUCUUAGACACUUUGGCUGAAUGUAUUUGUUUGCGUGCAUUUCCUUUGGAAUUCAUAGGAAAGGACACAGUCAUGAAGAUGUAGGAUAUCUGAAGGGAGAGAAAGGAGAUCAGAAAUAGAGUAGUUCAGAAAUAGAGCACUGACUUUCUUUAGCUUUUUUUUUUUUUUUUUUUUCUUAGCCUGGACCUCUUUUGUAGAAGGCAGCAAGACCUUUAAGGGUAUAAAAAGUGGAUGAGAGAGACAAAGAGGGAGGUAUGGAAAACAAGGGUGAUAGGAGAUCUCCAGGACAAACUACCUCAUUGUUUUGCCUGACUCUGGCUCCAGAAAUGAAAGGUCCCUCUUCCCCUCUGGGCAAAAGAAAGAAUCAGCAUAAUUAAAUGUUCAAGGUUUGUUAGAUGUUAGGUGCCUGCAUUUCAGCUGAGGAAGGAGCUGUUCCAUAAAGUGGAGAUUUCUCUGUUGAGAACUGCCCUGCAGAAAUCAAGCUGGCAUCAAAGCCUGGUCUUUUUAAUUCUGUUUCUUUCUGAGUUUUGCUGCAGCUCAUAAGUUAUAAUCAGAGGAAGGAAACGCCUGAGAGAUCUGAAGGUUUUAAUUGUUGUUGAGUGCAGAUGGUUUGGAUUACCGCACAGGAAUGGAGCUCAAGGAAGAGGGAAGUUUGGACACAGACACACACAGACAAGAGAAUACCAUGUGACAAAGGCAGAGAUUGGAAUGAUACAGCUGCAAGCCAGGGAUGCCAAGGAUUGCAGCCCUUCCUCCAGGGAAAGCAAGCUGCCAUGUUGUGAAGGCUGCUUUGGAGAGGCCCAAAUAGCAAGGAACUGUCUCUGUCCAACAGCCAAUGGGACCUGAGACCAAUAAAUACACAUGACUGAGUUUGGAAGUGGAUCCUUCCCUAGUCAAGCCUGGGGCAUUAAAUGAAUUUAUAAAUGGAGGUAAAACAUGUAGAACAAUUGUGGCACCUAGUAAAAGCUUAAUACAAUUUAGCAACACUACCUCUGAGUUUGCCUUUUCAUAUUUGUUAAAUGGGGAUAAUAUGAUCUAUUCCAUUGGAUUGUUGUAAACAUGAAAUAAAAUAAUGUAUUAGUAAGCACUUAAUGAAUAAUCACUACUGUUUAUCUUAACUGCCUAAACUGCUGUUUAGAUGAAAAGUGUUUUUGUUUGUUUGUUUUUAAGACAGGUUCUCACUCUGUCACCCAGGCUGGAGUGCAGUGGUGUGAUAACAGCUCACUGCAGCCUUGACCUCCCAGGCUCUAGUGAUCCUCCCACCUCAGCCUCAACUAGGACUACAGAGGCAUGACACCAUGCCCAGCAACUGGGUCUCACUAAGUUGCUCAAACUGGUCUCAAGUGAUCCUCCCACCUCAUCCUUCCAAAGUGGUAAAAUUACAGGCACGAGCCACCAUACCUGGCAAGAAGAAAGCUUUUUAAAAAUAGGAAUUGCAUUUUGGGCUGGGUACAGUGGUUCAUGCUUAUAAUCCCAGUGCUUUGGGAGGCCGAGGCAAGAGGAUCACUUGAGGUCAGGAGUUUGAGACCAGCCUAGGUGACAGAAGGAAACACUGUCCCUUGAAAAAAUUUUAAAAAGAAAUUGCAUUUUAUCGACCUUUGAAUUCUCUAACAUAACAAAAAUAGAUGUUCAAUUAAUGGUUUGGAAUUGACACAUUCAAUCUGUCUUUAUAUAUGUGAAACAAAAAAACAAGCUUCAUAGACUUGGACAAGUUGGAAAUGUAACCUCUGUUUCUUCAUCUAUUAAGUAAAGACACUAGACUUACUUUCUG